UACGUAGGGGCCGAGCGUUGUCCGGAUUCAUUGGGCGUAAAGGGCGCGUAGGCGGUGCUGUAAGUCUGUAGUGAAAUCUCACAGCUUAACUGUGAAACUGCAUUGGAUACUAUCCGGCUCGAGGAAUGGAGGGGAGACUGGAAUACUUGGUGUAGCAGUGAAAUGCGUAGAUAUCAAGUGGAACACCAGUGGCGAAGGCGAGUCUCUGGACAUUUCCUGACGCUGAGGCACGAAAGCCAGGGGAGCAAACGGG
rnacentral:rRNA from 1 species